rnacentral:rRNA from 1 species
UCAGGAGAUACCUUGUUAAGUCCCCCCCCCGAGGACUGCCGCAGCAUUGUUAAUACUCAAAGGAGUUGACGGGGGGCCCCACAAGCGGUGCAGCAUGUGGUUUAAUUCGCCGCAACGGAACAACCCCACCUAUUUUUGACCUCCAGAGAACUUUCCAGAGAUGCAUUGGUGCCUUGGGGAACUAUGAGACAGGUGCUGCAUGGCUGUCGUCAGCUCGUGUUGUGAAAUGUUGGGUUAAGUCCCGCAACGAGCGCAACCCUUAUCUUUUGUUGCCAGCGGUCCGGCCGGGAACUCAAAGGAGACUCCCAGUGAUAAACUGGAGGAAGGUGGGGAUGACGUCAAGUCAUCAUGGCCCUUACGAGUAGGGCUACACACGUGCUACAAUGGCGCAUACAAAGAGAAGCGACCUCGCGAGAGCAAGCGGACCUCAUAAAGUGCGUCGUAGUCCGGAUUGGAGUCUGCAACUCGACUCCAUGAAGUCGGAAUCGCUAGUAAUCGUAGAUCAGAAUGCUACGGUGAAUACGUUCCCGGGCCUUGUACACACCGCCCGUCACACCAUGGGAGUGGGUUGCAAAAGAAGUAGGUAGCUUAACCUUCGGGUAGGGCGCGUAUACCUACCGUUUCGAUGGAUUCCAUGAAU